UAGGGAAUCUUCGGCAAUGGGGGGAACCCUGACCGAGCAACGCCGCGUGAGUGAAGAAGGUUUUCGGAUCGUAAAGCUCUGUUGUUAAGGAAGAACGAGUGUGAGAAUGGAAAGUUCAUGCUGUGACGGUACUUAACCAGAAAGGGACGGCUAACUACGUGCCAGCAGCCGCGGUAAUACGUAAGGUCCGAGCGUUGUCCGGAAUCAUUGGGCGUAAAGGGUACGUAGGCGGGUAAGCAAGUUAGAAGUGAAAUCCUGUAGCUCAACUACAGUAAGCUUUUAAAACUGCUCAUCUUGAGAUAUGGAAGGGAAAGUGGAAUUCCAUGUGUAGCGGUGAAAUGCGUAGAUAUAUGGAGGAACACCGGUGGCGAAAGCGGCUCUCUGGUCUGUAACUGACGCUGAGGCUCGAAAGCGUGGGGAGCGAACAGG
rnacentral:rRNA from 1 species